GACGAAGGGGGCUAGCGUUGUUCGGAAUUACUGGGCGUAAAGCGCGUGUAGGCGGUUGCCCAAGUCGGGUGUGAAAGCCUUGAGCUCAACUCAAGAAAUGCACUCGGUACUGGGUGACUAGAGGACCGGAGAGGAUAGUGGAAUUCCCAGUGUAGUGGUGAAAUACGUAGAGAUUGGGAAGAACACCAGUGGCGAAGGCGGCUAUCUGGACGGUUUCUGACGCUAAGACGCGAAAGCGUGGGGAGUAAACAGG
rnacentral:rRNA from 1 species